GGGUCCCAGGAGGUAUAGGGGCAGGCCUAGGAGCUGGAGGUCUUGGAGGAACAGGAGGGGUACCAGCAGGAGGAGCUGGGGCUGGAGGUGUCCCCGGAGGUGCAGGAGCAGGCCUAGGAGCAGGAGGACUUGGAGGAGGAUAUGGAGGAGCAGGAGGGGCUGGGGCUGGAGGUACCUCACCGUAGUUAAUGGGCUAUAACUAUUAAAAUCAAUUCUGAUAUCUUUUAUUUAUUAACUCAAGUGUAUUCACCAGGAUAUAACCCUGCUGCGGCCAAAGCUGCUAAAUAUGGUAAGAAACAUCACUCUGAACGGCAACAUAAACUUUGGUGCAUUGGUUGAAUUUAUGGUAAACAUUUUGUCCAUUAUUGCUUUCUGACCCUCCACCAUAGGAGUUCCCGGAGGUGCAGGAGCAGGCCUAGGAGCUGGGGGAGCAGGGGGAGUACCAGGAGGAGGAGCAGGGGGUGUACCAGGAGGAGGAGCAGGAGGAUUACCAGGAGGAGGAGCAGGGGGUGUACCUGGGGCUGGAGGAUAUUAUCCCGCUGCAGCCAAAGCUGCUAAAUAUGGAGUUCCAGGAGGCCUAGGAACAGGCUUAGGAGCAGGAGGACUUGGAGGAGUACAGAGAGGAGUACCUGGAGGAGGAGCAGGGGGUGUACCAGGAGGAGGAGCAGGGGGUGUACCUGGGGCUGGAGGAUAUUAUCCCGCUGCAGCCAAAGCUGCUAAAUAUGGUAAGAAAAAUGUACAUUGGUUGAAUUCAUGGUGAAAUUUCUGUACAUUUUGGUACAUUAUCAAAUUUCUGUACAUUACCAUGUGUCAACUCAUGACUCGCCCUCUCCUGUGUUAUAGGUCAGGGGGCUGCUGGUGGGCCAGGGGGUGGAUAUGGUGGCGUGCCUGCUGGAGGAUAUCCCAGGCCUGGGGGUACGUACACCAAAGGGGAUGCCCAUGUGGGAUUGAAGGGUCUGGGGGAGGGGUGUAAGUAAGGGCAGUGUUCACACAUACAAUAUGUAUU
rnacentral:lncRNA from 1 species